AAAGGAAUGCCCGUGAACUACAGCAAUCUUAGAUGCCCAGGUUACAUUAUCCGAACAGCCCUGAGGCUGAACUGAAGGAAGUCCUCCAGCCUUCGCAGGGGAAAUCUGACACAGCUAGAAAGCAAUGGAAAACACUAAGCGUUGCAUCAGAUGUUGAAGAGGAACUGAUCAUACCGUGGAGAUAAAAAUGAUCUCUUUAAGGAGGAUUUCAAAAAUCUGGUUAUUUCAAGGUGCCUGAUAGGAUUGACCCCAUGAACAGACCCUGCCAAUGAAUUGUGAGAGGAAAUGGGAGUAUUACUUUCGGGCUCAAUAAUGAGUUGCUAGAAUGGGACACUCCUGAAUGCUCUCUUCCUGUGCCACGAGGAGCAGCCAUGUUCCAGGUGAUGGCCGCUCUGUCAAUGUAGAUCCUGCAGAGAUGACAUGGGGUAGAUCCCCCAGUUGACUCAUGAGAGACCAAGCAAGAAAUACAGAUUUGUUGUAUUAAUCCACUGAGAUUGUGGGGGGUCACCAUGAAGCACAACCGAUCCUUUUUUGGCACAAAGAUCAGACAUGAGAAUCACGUGCAAUUAUAAACAUCGGAUGGAGAGGUUCUAACAACAUUAAAGCACUCUACCCAAAGAAGGAAUUAGCAUCCCUGAAUUAGUAGGUUUGGGAGUGAUACACUCCUGUCUCAACUGGAACAGUCCAAGAGGUAGCUUCCUGCAACAUCUCCAGCUCUGAUUCCUGCUCAAGGUUAUGCUCCUGAUGGUUGCGCUGCUGGAAAGAUGAGACAAACCACCUGGGGUUGAAAGUCUGUGCUUCAGAGCCGCCAAGGAUGGGGUGGGCUUUCCAAAUGGCUUCUUCAGUUGAGCUGAAGGCCCAGAAUGUAAUGUUUGUUUAUGUGCCAUGCCAGUUUAGACUCUCCUGAAAGUGUGUGUAUGUGUAUAUGAGGGUGUGAGAGCGAAUACACACAUGCGUUUAACUUGCA